rnacentral:rRNA from 1 species
UGGGGAAUAUUGCACAAUGGGGGAAACCCUGAUGCAGCGACGCCGCGUGAACGAAGAAGGUAUUCGUAUCGUAAAGUUCUGUCCUAUGGGAAGAUAAUGACAGUACCAUGGAAGAAAGCUCCGGCUAAAUACGUGCCAGCAGCCGCGGUAAUACGUAUGGAGCGAGCGUUGUCCGGAAUUAUUGGGCGUAAAGGGUACGCAGGCGGUUUAAUAAGUCGAAUGUUAAAGAUCGGGGCUCAACCCCGUAAAGCAUUGGAAACUGAUAAACUUGAGUAGUGGAGAGGAAAGUGGAAUUCCUAGUGUAGUGGUGAAAUACGUAGAUAUUAGGAGGAAUACCAGUAGCGAAGGCGACUUUCUGGACACAAACUGACGCUGAGGUACGAAAGCGUGGGGAGCAAACAGG